rnacentral:piRNA from 1 species
UGGAGUGCCAAUACACAACAUGGAUUGU